GGGGAAUAAUAACUUGGGGCCUGCUACCUGGUCCCUACCAUCGUGGGGUGAGUGGAACUUGGAGGAGUAAACAUUCGAAUCCCAUUGGGAGAGUGGCUUAAUGCAAACUGGUUUUUUUCUUUACGAGGAGGCCCAGAGAAACAUCUAUCGUCUAUUAAACACAGCUUUUGGUCUCGUGCACCUGACUGCUCACAGCUCUCGUCUGCCCCUUGUCCUUGGGUGGGAGCCUGGGCCUGCGACCUGAGCCACCUGUCAACUUCCCUUACCUGCAUUAUGAUGUAAGUCUCGGUGCUCUUGUUCUGACUGCGGCAGGCUACAGGGCCUCCUCAUGCUCCCAGUCAGUCGCUGUCUGUACUGGCUCUGUUCCUGAGGCCCGAGCUUGAACUCAGCUGUGAUGUGGCCUCUCAGAUCACACUGUCCUAUGCUUGUCCAGCCUGGGGUCAAACAUACCCCUGAUUCAUCCCCUGGGUCUCUCUGGUGUUAACAUUCUGCCUCCACACAUUCUUUUCCAGGCCCGAGGCCAAGUGCCCCUCUUGGUGUCUUCUUACAGGCCAUUCUGCCCUUCCACUGCAGUGCCAUCCUGGCUACAGCCCUGGACACAGUCACUGUUCCUUAUCGCCUGUGUUCCUCUCCAGUUUCCAUGGUUCAUCUGGCUGACAUGCUGAGCUUCUGUGGGAAAAAGUGGUGACAGCAGGAGCAAUCAUCCCUUUCCCCUUGGCUCCAGGCCAGUCCCUUCCUGAUUCCCUGAUGCAGUUUGGAGGAGCCACCCCAUGGACCCCACUGUCUGCAUGUGGGGAGCCUUCUGGAACACGUUGCUUUGCCCAGUCAGUGGUGCUGAGGGUAUAGACAGAGCAUGCCACACAAGUGGAGAGCAUCCCAGUGUUUGGGGCACUGUGUUCCUCUUCGUCCCUGCACCAGACCCUGGAAGCCUUGGCCAGAGACCUCACCAAACUCGACUUGCGGCGCUGGGCCAGCUUCAUGGAUGCUGGAGUGGAGCACGAUGACGUAGCAGAGCUGCUGCAGGAGCUACAAAGCCUGGCCCAGUGCUACCAGGGUGGUGACAGCCUCGUGGACUAAAGUUCCCAGUGUGGGAGAAAGGAGCUAGUUUGCAAUAAAAACAGCUGGAUGCAGGAGCCCAGUGUCUUCAUGCAGAGGAGCUCAAUGUCGCGGGACUAGCUACACCAACAUAUGCACUUUUUACAUUUAGAAACACUGUGAUUAGACCACAGAACAAUAAAUAUGUGCCAUCAGACC
rnacentral:lncRNA from 1 species